rnacentral:misc_RNA from 1 species
GAUGAAGAACGUAGCGAAAUGCGAUACGUAGUGUGAAUUGCAGAAUUCAGUGAAUCAUCGAAUCUUUGAACGCACAUUGCACCUCUCGGUAUUCCGGGAGGUAUGCCUGUUCGAGCGUCAUUUGUACCCUCAAGCUCUGCUUGGUGUUGGGUGUUUGUUCCGCCUCUGUGUGUGAACUCGCCUCAAAACAAUUGGCAGCCGGCGUACUUGUUUCGGAGCGCAGCACAUUUUGCGAUCCAGAUCAACGUACAGCGGCAUCCAAGAAGCCUUAUUUAACGCUCUUGACCUCGGAUCAGGUAGGGAUACCCGCUGAACUUAAGCAUAUCAAUAACGGAGGA